rnacentral:rRNA from 1 species
UACGGAGGAUCCGAGCGUUAUCCGGAUUUAUUGGGUUUAAAGGGUGCGUAGGCGGAUUGUUAAGUCAGGGGUGAAAUCCUGGAGCUCAACUCCAGAACUGCCUUUGAUACUGGCGAUCUCGAGUCCGGGAGAGGUGAGUGGAACUGCGAGUGUAGAGGUGAAAUUCGUAGAUAUUCGCAAGAACACCAGUGGCGAAGGCGGCUCACUGGCCCGGUACUGACGCUGAGGUGCGAAAGCGUGGGGAGCAAACAGG